CUCGUAAGUUUCAGUUCGGGAACGCCGCCUACGACUUCGUUCACUUCAUGCCGUGAACAAAGUACACUGACGUGAAAACGACGUUAUUUUAGCUGAAAAAUUAUCUGAUGGAACAUGGUGCGGGACAUUACAGACGCAAUGUUAAAGUUUGCUACUUUAGCUUGGUAGAAUGCUGACUGCAGCCCAGCAUGUAUGAUGAUUCCAAAAGGGCACAGGGUAUCUGCUGUAUCAAUGAUGGUGCUACUUGUGAGAAUGGUUUUGGUUUAUCUCUGGCACUGUUGGCUGAUAAGCCGAAUUCAUCCGAUAUUAGAUAUUGUAGAGAUUGCUGUGUUGAAUUCCACAAAGAUGUGACUACAUAUGAGAUGACUUUUGGUGAUUUGUGGUUGAAUGCAACUCUUGGCCGUUCCUCGUGUUGGUGCCUCUAACCAGUGAGGUGAUCCCGAACUAACAUUUUGUUGAAAGUACUUCCCUAUCGCCCCGUCUGAAGAAACAUUUCUGACUCGUAUAUACAAGUCAUUGGACUUUGUUGUGA